UUCAAAGGCAGACCAGAAACGUAGCCUAUAGCCAGCGUCCGGAAAGAGAUGGAACCGGUGGGGAACAUUGUUGGAGACCGACUAUAGAGGAUGCUGAAUAGACUUCUGUAGUUUGUUUUGUGUGAGUUUCAUCAUUAUUUGAAUUAAGGGUACUAAUGGGGCCUGAAUAACCGCUUCUUUCUCUUGAGUACACUCUAGAACCUACAUUUCGAAUUUAGAUCUAUAAGCGAACUGCUAGUCUGAGUUCCUCUGGUAUAUUCAAUUAGCACGUAAUGUUGUGAACAACAAUUGGCCAGCAAUGCUCCCAUUUUAUUUAAAACAAUCCAAUGUCUACGAGAUUGUGCCGAUGGAUGUGCCCAAGCUGUGCCGAAUCUAAUUUCAGCACAAUGUGCACAAUGCUACAUUCACUAAUAACAAACAUACUAUUCUCGACAGAUCCAAGCACUCUGUAAGGAUAAAUUCAACAACAACUGAAACACAGUUUAAGAUUUUAAACGGCAGAGCACGAUCCAAUUAAAGACACCCGCAUAGAUGAAUUUGGUUGAUAUUCUCGUCAUUUUGCAAAAUACUUAGUUACGAAAAGCACCUUAGGGGCUGUCCACAAACCACGAGGUUGUCCACUGAUGAUAGCUUCUGACAGUUCUGACGGAAAUACUAACGUCUUGAAUCUGCCUAAACUUCAAACUUAGGAUAUCUGCUUCAAGCUCCCGCAAGAAAGUUUAAUAGUAUUCUUUAAUUCUUUAAAAUUGCUGGUUAAUGUUUGCUGAGUAGCACGUAAAUACCGGGGAAAUUUGCAGCUAAUUUUGGUCUUGGACUGAGGAUAGCUGAACAUCAUGAGCAUAAGCCUGAUAGACCGCCCGCGGAUGCUGCUCCGUUAUUGCCAGAUCAGCUGUAAUUACACAGAGAACCAAUAGACGUUGCUUGUGAAUCAUCCUCAAUGUGUAAAAACUGGUGAUCUCAAACUAAGCAUUGGCCACGUUCGAAUGCAAGUCAAGAAAGGAAUGACUAGACAUGUGUUGACGUGACACUCGCUUUGAUGGAAGCCGAGGAAUCACUGGGAUGUUGGGUUUGCAUUGGUUGAAUUCAAGCUGAACAUUGCAUUAGGUCCUAAGUAACAUUGAUCGAUUCUCUUCGUCGACUUUCUCGUCCGGUAAUAACCUGAGCACAUAACCGUUUCAUGUUGUGUUUGUCAUAUUAGAUGCUAGAUGAAAGCUUCGUUUAUCGAUGUGUGAGCUUAAAAUACCUGGGUAUGGCUUUACAUGGCCGUGGGGAUGCAAAGAGAAAGUCGACGAAGAGAAUCUGUCAAUGUUACUUAGGACCUAAUGCAAUGCGAAAGAGCUUGGGAUUGAACACACGGUCUUCUGCUCACUAGGCAUACGAACUCCGUAUAUAUUACAGUCAACUUUCGCUCUUUGGGCUAAACCCGCAGCCCACUUAGCGAAGGGCUUUAGUUAGUUGGGCUGAGCUGUCAAGCUGAAAAUUGGUUGAAGGAUACACCGAUUGUUUAUUAUCAUCACAAUCCUUUAGCAACUAUCCAAAUUGUUCAUACAUGAGCCCCUCGAAAAUGAAUCAGCAUUGUCAGAAAUGACGUUUGACUUUGAUUUAGAUUGGCUACAACCCAUCGAACGGGAGCCCAACUAACACGUAGCCCACUUAAACAUAGCCCAACGAGCGAAAUUUGACUGUACAAAACACCACUAGUGAACACUUUAAGCCAUUAACAACUCUUGAAUGUGGAGUGGCUUGAGCUAAUCUCAUGAUAUUCUGCUCAAUAACCAAAAGCGUUCGCUCUAAGGCCACCGAGCCCCUCAUAUCACAUCAUACCAUCUGACCAGCCUGACAUAAAUAAGAGGUAAAAUACCAAAUAAAACCAAAAACAUUGCAUGCAAAAUACUCCCUAAAUAACAAAAAAUAUAUAUUGGAUCCCAAAAGAAUACCUGUGUGGUAUCGUUUUUGUAUUGAAUUUGCUUAAUUUGUUAUUGGAAUGAUUUUUUGGUAUUAUUCUUUGGUAUUUUACCAGUUUAAGGUAUCGAGAUAUUCGUUCCUGCUCGGGUUUCCAUUUCACACCACUCCGGUCGAGCUCCCACACCUUGUACACAAUGCAAUUAUUUAACAUCAAAACAAACCUAAACACUCCCAAAGCACAUGCAUAGUGCACCAUACGCGACCGAACAAAUCGUGAGUGACCCCUCCAAACACAACGAACUAGAACUUGAACUAGGAAUGGCAAAAAAAACUAAAACCGAACAAUAGAUCAUGCGCGAUCGAGGCUCUACUACCAGCCAACAAACGGAUGGACUUGUUCGCUUUGUGCAAUAUAAGGCUUUGCAGCAGUAUAUUAGCCGUAUAAUUAACCUUACUCUGUGACAUCAAAUCGUUGACGGCUCUACUCCGUAGGCAUAAUUUUUCUUUUCAAUUGUUUUAUUUCAUUAGGCUCAAUCGGAUGAACUUAGACCAGAGCCUAGUUUGUUAUUUGAUCAUUAUAUAUUACAAUAAAUCUUAAAACUAAAGUCAAAAAGUUUAACACGGAAAGCACCUUAUCCUCCGCUAUCCAGUAAGUUUCUUCCAUCAAAACGGGAUUUACUUCCAGUGGGGGGAAUAGCGCUUCCCUUGGAGAAAUAGGCGCAAAUUGUGGUCUUCACUUAUAAAUUUAUCACCGAGCAAACUGCAGAUGACACAUCGAGAGAGGUACUGCUGGAUGCUACCGGUUUCGUAUAACCGUUUGGUAUAAUGGCCAUUUUUUACGUUCUUCUAGAUUGCUCAUUUGACCAACUGAGCAAUGGGAACCUUUGACCGUACCAAUGAUUUCUAUAGCGAUUGUAUUUGCAGUAAACUUUGCAAGUAUUAAGUUUGACGUUUAUAAUCGAUGUCGUUUUGGUUCCAUGUAACGAGCAAGAUAAAUCUCCCAUACAUUUUUUGUACAAUACCGUUGUAAUUGUUUCCUCCAAAGUGUAGUCUGCUGAAAGUCCCAUCACUCCAUCAGCUCUCCAAUGUGCAAUAUUUGUUACUGCAAUUCUUUAUGAUAGUUUGCUGUUUCCUCUACUUUAGUUUUAUGUACAUUACAUUGUUAAUAUUACUUACUCCCUGUUUUCAUUUCAUCCGCAUAUUGGUUUUACUGAGUGACAGUCCUUUGGUUUUAUUCAAUGUUUACUUUUUUCACUAUUUAGACAUCACUUUUCGCUUUCCAUAAACAAUUAUUCGCAACUGAGUAAUAAUAUUGACAGAAGAAUUAAGAAAUGUUAUUCAGCACUCUAUAGAUUUAGUAACAAUGAAAAAAUCCACUUAAUUUUAAAUGCAUAGUUGAGAUGAUCUAUUUAUUUUAUCGAAAUUUCAUGUAUAUGAGUGUCUUCUUAUAAUAUGUUUUCAAGUACACUUGAUGGAAAGGCUUUCUUUCUUGACAAUAAUCACCCAUAUUCAUAUUCUCUAUUCCGUUUCGGAGUGAGUACAAUUGAUUUGACUUUUUCCGACAAGAUUUCAUCGCAUAGCCUACUUGUUAAGUAAUACAUAAAUAAACCUAACGGAUAUUUUGAGUUUUCAUGUUUUCAGAAAACUCCAAACUGAUUCUUUGAAACAAUUAUCAAACACACAAUGAGCUGGAGAAACUGUGAGAUAUCCACUCAUAGGAGAUCGAUAAAGCGAAUUUCUCGUUGGUUCAUGGGUAGUAAAAAGUUGUCUAAAGAAUCAGCCUAGAAAUGCAUUCUUGCACUCAUGAUAAUGAUAAUAAUAAUUGAUCGUUGCGGAACACAACUAUACCAUAGAGAUAGCAGUAAGUAGACUGGCGGAUACAGAUUAACGAUAACACACGUUUUGACAGUUCGCUCUGGACAUUGGGCUCACACCCGCCAUUCUACGCUACUCGAAUGUCUAUUAGGCCUAUUCUGCGCGGCGUGUGAGGUGAGAUGACUCGCUGUCAUGACAAUUGUCACUUCACCAUCACUUUACUGCCACCUCACCUCACACGCCGCGCAGUAUAGGGCCCUAUAUAAGUAGUAGAACCGCGCGUAACCAACGGCACCACCAGAGGGCAAAACUAACGACCGGUGAAAAGCAAACAACAGUCAUACUGAGUACAAAGUCUUAAGGUAAAUAAAUUAAAAGAAAAAAAACAACAAACAGUGUAAUUUAUCUGUAAAAUAA